rnacentral:siRNA from 1 species
GGAGGGCACACAGUGCAACUACC